CAUGCUACCAUGCAGUCGAACGAUGAUCCCUAGCUUGCUGGGGGGAUUAGUGGCGAACGGGUGAGUAACACGUGAGUAACCUGCCCUUGACUCUGGGAUAAGCCUGGGAAACUGGGUCUAAUACUGGAUACGACCGACUAUCGCAUGGUGGUUGGUGGAAAGCUUUUGUGGUUUUGGAUGGACUCGCGGCCUAUCAGCUUGUUGGUGGGGUAAUGGCCUACCAAGGCGACGACGGGUAGCCGGCCUGAGAGGGUGGACGGCCACACUGGGACUGAGACACGGCCCAGACUCCUACGGGAGGCAGCAGUGGGGAAUAUUGCACAAUGGGCGCAAGCCUGAUGCAGCGACGCCGCGUGAGGGAUGAAGGCCUUCGGGUUGUAAACCUCUUUCAGUAGGGAAGAAGCGAAAGUGACGGUACCUGCAGAAGAAGCGCCGGCUAACUACGUGCCAGCAGCCGCGGUAAUACGUAGGGCGCAAGCGUUAUCCGGAAUUAUUGGGCGUAAAGAGCUCGUAGGCGGUUUGUCGCGUCUGCCGUGAAAGUCCGGGGCUUAACUCCGGAUCUGCGGUGGGUACGGGCAGACUUGAGUGAUGUAGGGGAGACUGGAAUUCCUGGUGUAGCGGUGAAAUGCGCAGAUAUCAGGAGGAACACCGAUGGCGAAGGCAGGUCUCUGGGCAUUAACUGACGCUGAGGAGCGAAAGCAUGGGGAGCGAACAGGAUUAGAUACCCUGGUAGUCCAUGCCGUAAACGUUGGGCACUAGGUGUGGGGGACAUUCCACGUUUUCCGCGCCGUAGCUAACGCAUUAAGUGCCCCGCCUGGGGAGUACGGCCGCAAGGCUAAAACUCAAAGGAAUUGACGGGGGCCCGCACAAGCGGCGGAGCAUGCGGAUUAAUUCGAUGCAACGCGAAGAACCUUACCAAGGCUUGACAUGAACCGGAACGGCGCAGAGAUGUGUCGGCCACUUGUGGCCCGGUUUACAGGUGGUGCAUGGUUGUCGUCAGCUCGUGUCGUGAGAUGUUGGGUUAAGUCCCGCAACGAGCGCACCCUUCG
rnacentral:rRNA from 1 species